UUUGGAACUGAGCAGACCUUCUCCUGCCCGGCUCUGAGCUGGGCAGGGGGGAAGGGGAGCCAUGCGGCCGGAGGGAGGAGGGCAACUCAGCUGGAAUAGGAACCUGAUCCUCCCAGCUACUAAUCCUGUUGCUACAACCACUAGAAUCUGUUUUGAACAGCAAGGAAGACCUGAAUAACAUCAUGGCAAAAGACAAAGGAUUGGACAUAUUCAGCAGCCUUUUAGCUCUUCUUCUGGAGAAGAUAAUCUGCACCCAUGGCUUUCUUUCUGUGUGAGGAAGGAUUGGAGUUGCAGAAAAGGAAAUCCUUACGGUCAACAUUGGCUCCAACAGCUGCUCCAGGAGCUGGAGGUCUGUGGUUGUGGGCGGCUGCUGACAUUUGCCCACAUCACCUCCACAGGGAGGGAGAACAAUAAGGAGUUGGUGUUUCUGACUUUGUGGUGAAUGAAUUCCCUACGCAAGGAGAAUCUCCUGCUUCUCAGCCAGUGUGACUUCACGGCUCCUUUGGGCUGCUGCAGAGGUGUACAUUAGAGCCCAGAUCUGAGCUGAAAUAAAGCAGGAGAUGGCUGCCACUACUUGUAAGGGCACAGUUAAUUCUUUUUACUCAUUUCUAUCCUUGCAUGAACUCAAGGAGUUUACCAAGUCAGUUCCACAUUUUGCACCCUCUGUAAAGAUACGUGGCUGAGAAACAUUUCCAGGUUUUCUUCCAAGAAGCUUGCAGCAUCUGUGAAAUUGUGUAUGACUGCUCAGAUAUGAUUUUCAUCACAAUUCCUUGUAAAAGAUGUGAGACCUGUGUUGAUACAGAUGAUUUUACUAGGUGGUGAUGGUCAGGUAGGACCUGGGUCAGAAAGACAAAGACCUGUACAGUUUCCUUGAUGCCCAGACCCAAAAUUUUUCUCCAGAGACAUAUGCAUCAGACACUAAAUUGAAAUUUGAAUACUUCUGUGUGUGCUUUUCUCUCAGAAUGCCGACAGGACACUUUCUGCUAUCAGUGUCAUUGCAGCUUAUGUGACGCAAAUUCUCACUCUCUGUUACCAGGCAAUGUCUCUCAGGGGACCCACAUCAUGUUAAAAGAUUGGCCUCUGCUCUCAGUAACCUCAGUAUAAAUCUAGAAUAAAUUUUAUACUGUCAGCAACAAUUAUACAUGUCAUUCAGGGCACAAGUUACGGAUACAGGUCCUGCCCGAAAGUUGAUUUAAAACUGUGAUGAUUAGAAUGUUGCUCUCACUUCCUGGUACAGGUAUUUCCCAUCUGCUUAAUUUUUGGCAUGAGCUCAUUCUUUCCUUUGGAUCUUUUCAUUCUGUGGUGCAAAACCAAACUUGUGUACAAGUUCUGAAUAUGACCUGGCCAUGCUCAUUUCCAUCCAUUGUCUUGUAUCUGAGCAGGCUGUCCAUCAAUAACUGUGACCUUCAGCAAUUUAUUUUUUCACCUGACUACAUUCACAUGGAUGGCAUAUGUUGAGCACAUGAAUACUACUUUGGGUGGCUCUUAUUUUAGCCAUAUAUCAGGAAUAAAGUUGUCUACGCUCUCUUUCAAACUCUA